ACACGCUGGCGGCGUGCCUAACACAUGCAAGUCGGAGCGGGGUUGAGGCGAGAGGUAACUCGAGCUUCUACCUAGCGGCGGACGGGUGAGUAACGCGUGGGCAACCUGCCUCAAGGUUUGGGAUAACAGCCCGAAAGGGCUGCUAAUACCGGAUAUGCCUAUGGCCUCGCAUGGGGCUAUGAGCAAAGGGGAAACCCGCCUUGAGAUGGGCCCGCGUCCCAUCAGCUAGUUGGUGAGGUAACAGCUCACCAAGGCGACGACGGGUAGCCGGCCUGAGAGGGUGACCGGCCACACUGGGACUGAGACACGGCCCAGACUCCUACGGGGGGGCAGCAGUGGGGGAUCUUGCACAAUGGGCGAAAGCCUGAUGCAGCGACGCCGCGUGAGCGAAGAAGGCCUUCGGGUUGUAAAGCUCUGUCUGGAGGGACGAACAAAAUGACGGUACCUCCGGAGGAAGCCACGGCUAACUACGUG
rnacentral:rRNA from 1 species